rnacentral:tRNA from 1 species
GAAAUAAAUAAAUUAAGCUGCUAACUUAAAUAAAGUGAUUAAAAUCAUUAUUAUUUCU